rnacentral:rRNA from 1 species
UGAGGGAAUAUUUGGGGUCAAUGGGCGGAAGCCUGAACCAGCCAAGUCGCGUGAGGGAAGACGGCCCUAAGGGUUGUAAACCUCUUUUGCCGGGGAGCAAAAGCGCCGUGCGCGGUGCUAUGAGAGUACCCGGAGAAAAAGCAUCGGCUAACUCCGUGCCAGCAGCCGCGGUAAUACGGAGGAUGCGAGCGUUAUCCGGAUUUAUUGGGUUUAAAGGGUGCGUAGGCGGACAGUUAAGUCAGCGGUCAAAACGGGCGGCUCAACCGCCUGCCGCCGUUGAAACUGGCAGUCUAGAGUGGGCGAGAAGUACGCGGAAUGCGCGGUGUAGCGGUGAAAUGCAUAGAUAUUGCGCA